rnacentral:ncRNA from 23 species
CUCAGGACAGGCGGCGCUGGUGCCUGUGGUAUGACAGGCGAAGAGGGAAUGCGACAGGGUUUGCGACCAUCAGGGUCGAAAACGCGAAGCGCAGCCGCCCCCGCGACCGUGACCGGAGAGGCCCCGUUGCCACUGACCGCAAGGUCGGGAAGGUGGGGGCCGGGGGGCAACCCACUUCGCAAGCCGGGAGACCUGCCAGCGCCGAAGUGUCACCG